GUACACAAAAAUGCACAUGCUGUGAGCUCGAUGAGUAGGGCGGGACACGUGGUAUCCUGUCUGAAUAUGGGGGGACCAUCCUCCAAGGCUAAAUACUCCUGACUGACCGAUAGUGAACCAGUACCGUGAGGGAAAGGCGAAAAGAACCCCGGCGAGGGGAGUGAAAAAGAACCUGAAACCGUGUACGUACAAGCAGUGGGAGCACGCUUAGGCGUGUGACUGCGUACCUUUUGUAUAAUGGGUCAGCGACUUAUAUUCUGUAGCAAGGUUAACCGAAUAGGGGAGCCGAAGGGAAACCGAGUCUUAACUGGGCGUUAAGUUGCAGGGUAUAGACCCGAAACCCGGUGAUCUAGCCAUGGGCAGGUUGAAGGUUGGGUAACACUAACUGGAGGACCGAACCGACUAAUGUUGAAAAAUUAGCGGAUGACUUGUGGCUGGGGGUGAAAGGCCAAUCAAACCGGGAGAUAGCUGGUUCUCCCCGAAAGCUAUUUAGGUAGCGCCUCGUGAAUUCAUCUCCGGGGGUAGAGCACUGUUUCGGCAAGGGGGUCAUCCCGACUUACCAACCCGAUGCAAACUGCGAAUACCGGAGAAUGUUAUCACGGGAGACACACGGCGGGUGCUAACGUCCGUCGUGAAGAGGGAAACAACCCAGACCGCCAGCUAAGGUCCCAAAGUCAUGGUUAAGUGGGAAACGAUGUGGGAAGGCCCAGACAGCCAGGAUGUUGGCUUAGAAGCAGCCAUCAUUUAAAGAAAGCGUAAUAGCUCACUGGUCGAGUCGGCCUGCGCGGAAGAUGUAACGGGGCUAAACCAUGCACCGAAGCUGCGGCAGCGACACUGUGUGUUGUUGGGUAGGGGAGCGUUCUGUAAGCCUGCGAAGGUGUGCUGUGAGGCAUGCUGGAGGUAUCAGAAGUGCGAAUGCUGACAUAAGUAACGAUAAAGCGGGUGAAAAGCCCGCUCGCCGGAAGACCAAGGGUUCCUGUCCAACGUUAAUCGGGGCAGGGUGAGUCGACCCCUAAGGCGAGGCCGAAAGGCGUAGUCGAUGGGAAACAGGUUAAUAUUCCUGUACUUGGUGUUACUGCGAAGGGGGGACGGAGAAGGCUAUGUUGGCCGGGCGACGGUUGUCCCGGUUUAAGCGUGUAGGCUGGUUUUCCAGGCAAAUCCGGAAAAUCAAGGCUGAGGCGUGAUGACGAGGCACUACGGUGCUGAAGCAACAAAUGCCCUGCUUCCAGGAAAAGCCUCUAAGCAUCAGGUAACAUCAAAUCGUACCCCAAACCGACACAGGUGGUCAGGUAGAGAAUACCAAGGCGCUUGAGAGAACUCGGGUGAAGGAACUAGGCAAAAUGGUGCCGUAACUUCGGGAGAAGGCACGCUGAUAUGUAGGUGAAGUCCCUCGCGGAUGGAGCUGAAAUCAGUCGAAGAUACCAGCUGGCUGCAACUGUUUAUUAAAAACACAGCACUGUGCAAACACGAAAGUGGACGUAUACGGUGUGACGCCUGCCCGGUGCCGGAAGGUUAAUUGAUGGGGUCAGCGCAAGCGAAGCUCUUGAUCGAAGCCCCGGUAAACGGCGGCCGUAACUAUAACGGUCCUAAGGUAGCGAAAUUCCUUGUCGGGUAAGUUCCGACCUGCACGAAUGGCGUAAUGAUGGCCAGGCUGUCUCCACCCGAGACUCAGUGAAAUUGAACUCGCUGUGAAGAUGCAGUGUACCCGCGGCAAGACGGAAAGACCCCGUGAACCUUUACUAUAGCUUGACACUGAACAUUGAGCCUUGAUGUGUAGGAUAGGUGGGAGGCUUUGAAGUGUGGACGCCAGUCUGCAUGGAGCCGACCUUGAAAUACCACCCUUUAAUGUUUGAUGUUCUAACGUUGACCCGUGAUCCGGGUUGCGGACAGUGUCUGGUGGGUAGUUUGACUGGGGCGGUCUCCUCCUAAAGAGUAACGGAGGAGCACGAAGGUUGGCUAAUCCUGGUCGGACAUCAGGAGGUUAGUGCAAUGGCAUAAGCCAGCUUGACUGCGAGCGUGACGGCGCGAGCAGGUGCGAAAGCAGGUCAUAGUGAUCCGGUGGUUCUGAAUGGAAGGGCCAUCGCUCAACGGAUAAAAGGUACUCCGGGGAUAACAGGCUGAUACCGCCCAAGAGUUCAUAUCGACGGCGGUGUUUGGCACCUCGAUGUCGGCUCAUCACAUCCUGGGGCUGAAGUAGGUCCCAAGGGUAUGGCUGUUCGCCAUUUAAAGUGGUACGCGAGCUGGGUUUAGAACGUCGUGAGACAGUUCGGUCCCUAUCUGCCGUGGGCGCUGGAGAACUGAGGGGGGCUGCUCCUAGUACGAGAGGACCGGAGUGGACGCAUCACUGGUGUUCGGGUUGUCAUGCCAAUGGCACUGCCCGGUAGCUAAAUGCGGAAGAGAUAAGUGCUGAAAGCAUCUAAGCACGAAACUUGCCCCGAGAUGAGUUCUCCCUGACUCCUUGAGAGUCCUGAAGGAACGUUGAAGACGACGACGUUGAUAGGCCGGGUGUGUAAGCGCAGCGAUGCGUUGAGCUAACCGGUACUAAUGAACCGUGAGGCUUAACCUUACAACG
rnacentral:rRNA from 1 species